UUUAGUUUGACCCGAACGAGUCAUAUUUUAAAUAGGUACUUCUGUAGUGAUGCCUGAAAAAUGGACGGUAUAAUCCCCAACAUUACAAAUUUGUGAGAAAAAGAAAUGGGUAUACUAUCAAAAGUUCAGUGUAUUGUUAUGGGGCACGCUGUGGCUAAUUACAACACACAUAAAUUGUAGUAACAGAACUUACUUGUAUGUAGAUAAAGUACUUUGAAAAAUCGUCAUGUUAGCAGCAUCUUUGAUGGCUUCAACUGAUAUCUGCAAAAUUCACCACGAAACCCUCUACCUAUAGUUCCUACUCCAAUACCACCUAGUGGAACACCUACAAGUGCCCGCUGUGAAAAUGUUUCAGUUACAAUAACUACGUUUACCAUAUAUUUGUUUGCUUCUAACAAGUUUGAUGUAAUCCAUGACUAUAAUGUGACGACAAAUUAUUGUUUUUAUGUAAACAAGUAGGUACCUUAAAAUAAUCAUAUUAAAAACAUA